rnacentral:lncRNA from 1 species
GAUGGAGCAGUGAAGGCAUACCCCAAGCACCAUUCUGCAAGGCGAUUAGCCAAGCCUGCCCCAUCAAUGACAGGAAGCCCAAAGGGGCUGCAGGAAAGAAUAAAGCAUCAGACAAAAAAAGUGCAGAUAAAAGGGAAGAGGGGAGAGAAGGGCAAACAGGCUGAAGUGGCUGACCAGCAAACUAGAGAACUGCCUGCAGAAAAUGGAGAGACAGAAAACCAGAGUGCAGCCUCUGAAAAAGAGAAAGAAGCCAAGUCCGACUAA